GAUGAACGCUGGCGGCGUGCCUAAUACAUGCAAGUCGAGCGAACAGACAAGGAGCUUGCUCCUUUGACGUUAGCGGCGGACGGGUGAGUAACACGUGGGUAACCUACCUAUAAGACUGGGAUAACUUCGGGAAACCGGAGCUAAUACCGGAUAAUAUUUCGAACCGCAUGGUUCGAUAGUGAAAGAUGGUUUUGCUUUCACUUAUAGAUGGACCCGCGCCGUAUUAGCUAGUUGGUAAGGUAACGGCUUACCAAGGCGACGAUACGUAGCCGACCUGAGAGGGUGAUCGGCCACACUGGAACUGAGACACGGUCCAGACUCCUACGGGAGGCAGCAGUAGGGAAUCUUCCGCAAUGGGCGAAAGCCUGACGGAGCAACGCCGCGUGAGUGAUGAAGGUCUUCGGAUCGUAAAACUCUGUUAUUAGGGAAGAACAUACAUGUAAGUAACUAUGCACGUCUUGACGGUACCUAAUCAGAAAGCCACGGCUAACUACGUGCCAGCAGCCGCGGUAAUACGUAGGUGGCAAGCGUUGUCCGGAAUUAUUGGGCGUAAAGCGCGCGUAGGCGGUUUUUUAAGUCUGAUGUGAAAGCCCACGGCUCAACCGUGGAGGGUCAUUGGGAACUGGAAAACUUGAGUGCAGAAGAGGAAAGUGGAAUUCCAUGUGUAGCGGUGAAAUGCGCAGAGAUAUGGAGGAACACCAGUGGCGAAGGCGACUUUCUGGUCUGUAACUGACGCUGAUGUGCGAAAGCGUGGGGAUCAAACAGGAUUAGAUACCCUGGUAGUCCACGCCGUAAACGAUGAGUGCUAAGUGUUAGGGGGUUUCCGCCCCUUAGUGCUGCAGCUAACGCAUUAAGCACUCCGCCUGGGGAGUACGACCGCAAGGUUGAAACUCAAAGGAAUUGACGGGGACCCGCACAAGCGGUGGAGCAUGUGGUUUAAUUCGAAGCAACGCGAAGAACCUUACCAAAUCUUGACAUCCUUUGACAACUCUAGAGAUAGAGCCUUCCCCUUCGGGGGACAAAGUGACAGGUGGUGCAUGGUUGUCGUCAGCUCGUGUCGUGAGAUGUUGGGUUAAGUCCCGCAACGAGCGCAACCCUUAAGCUUAGUUGCCAUCAUUAAGUUGGGCACUCUAAGUUGACUGCCGGUGACAAACCGGAGGAAGGUGGGGAUGACGUCAAAUCAUCAUGCCCCUUAUGAUUUGGGCUACACACGUGCUACAAUGGACAAUACAAAGGGCAGCGAAACCGCGAGGUCAAGCAAAUCCCAUAAAGUUGUUCUCAGUUCGGAUUGUAGUCUGCAACUCGACUACAUGAAGCUGGAAUCGCUAGUAAUCGUAGAUCAGCAUGCUACGGUGAAUACGUUCCCGGGUCU
rnacentral:rRNA from 1 species